ensembl:lncRNA
AUGAAAGUUCCGGAGGGAUCCGUGACAGUUACCAAUGUUUUGGGUUUUGGAAAAUGCUUACGAAGUGGUUCGCGUUCUUUCCCCCUUUUUAGGAGGUAUUGUUCUCCUUCUGUGAAAAACUCUUCCAUCUCUAGGAGAUUGUUCAUGCCUAAACCAAGUUCACACAUAAACUCUUCCAUCUCUAGGAGAUUGUUCAUGUCUAAACCAAGUUCACAAAAAAACUCUUCCAUCUCUAGGACAUUGUUCAUGCCUAAACCAAGUUCACACAAAAACUCUUCCAUCUCUAGGAGAUUGUUCAUGUCUAAACCAAGUUCACACAUAAACUCUUCCAUCUCUAGGAGAUUGUUCAUGCCUAAACCAAGUUCACACAUAAACUCUUCCAUCUCUAGGAGAUUGUUCAUGCCUAAACCAAGUUCACACAAGGUUGUUGUUUUCUUCCUUCUCAAAAGUCACCUGAAAUCCACGUCCCACGAUCACUGUUAGGGUAUGAGAAGAUCAGACAAACUUCAGUUUUGGGGUGACCCAUCCCUUUAAUCAGCCAACUAAAAAGACAAAGUGACUAGUUGAUCUCCAGGGUCUUGAACAGCUGGGGGGGGGAUCAAGUAGUAAACUGUCCAUCAGAAGUAUCCUAUAUUUUAGCAGCCGGCUGUCACUAGAGAAAAAUCCCCUGUCAUGACCCUGCGGCCUGAGGAAUUCCUCCCUGGAGGACAGUUCCAUGGGAUAAAGAUGCCUAGAAGGGCCGUGUUUUGGAGAAGGCUCAAGCCAUAGGUAUAUCGGAUGGCAUAAAGGCAGACAGCCGCUGUCCGUGUAGGCUAGAAGGAAAACAGUGAGGAGGAGGGGGGUUGGAUAGUUUUGAAGACUGGUUUGGUUCGUAACCUGGGUCUUCUGGAUGCUAUAAAACUGUGUUGUCUCUCUGGGCUAACUCCUAGGCAUCUACACAACAUAUGACGAAUCCCACUGGGCACAGACGUCAAUUCAACAUCUAUUCAACUUUGGUUCAAUGUAAUUGAAUUGAAAUGAUGUGGAAACAGCGUUGAUUGUGUUGUAUUCAUAACAAACAUCAUCAUCAUCCUCAUUCAAAGGAAUUCUAACAUCAGACUAUUAAAAGCGUGCAGUCUCUGUUAUAUGUUUUGUGUGUUUUAUGUUUUAUAAUGGUCAUGAGAUCAAGUCCCAAAGACAGUUUUUCUAUAGUUUUUUUUAAAUUUAAAUCAAUGAAAUAUAAACAUUUAAUAUAGAAUGUGACUGAAGGUAAAUCUAUUGCUUGCUACAGUAUGUGUAUGUACAUAAAUAUAUGUUACUAUCAGUCAGUUACUAAAACAAGGGAAAUACACGUAACUUCCAAAAUAAAGGAAACCCCAACAUAAAGUGUCUUAAAUAAAAGCUUUAAUGCAUAGAUUCUACAAGUGUCUGGAACUUUGUUGGAGGGACGAGAACCAUCAUUUGGUGUUUUGUUGAUGAAAACGCUUUCUCAGGCGUCGCUCCAGAAUCUCCUAUAGGAGUUCAAUUGGAUUGAGGCGUGAUAAAUGAGACCACCAUAGCAUAUGGUUUACGUCGUUUUCAUGCUCAUCAAACCAUUCAGUGAUCACUUCUGCCCUGUGGAUGGAGACAAUGUCAUCCUAGCCAUGGUAGCCAAAAUAAUGGCCUGCCCAGCAUUAUUAUACAUGACCCUAAGCAUGAUGGGACAUGAAUUGCUUAAUUAACUCAGGAACCACACCUGUGUGGAAUUACCUGCUUUCAAUAUUCUUUGUAUCCCUCAUUUACUCAUGUGUUUCCAUUAUUUUGGCAGUUAUAUGUACCUGUACAUUGAGAGUCAAUAUACAGUAUUAUCACACUUACAGGAAAAAUGUCUAAGUAAAACGUUAUUUUUAUCAUGUUAAAUUAUGCAAACAUAUUUGUACCUGAUAUUUGUUUUAUAAGAUGUAUUGUACUGUAUUGAAGUGUGAGUGUGAGUGCGAAAAAAUGAGGCAUCUCUAUUAGGAAGUCGUCAGAUUACAGGAAACAUCAUAUAUGUAUGCCUGCGGUGAGUCCCAAAGAGUUGAAUGUGUCGUUCUGAAUGAUGAUUCAAAUAAACUUGUUCAAAUCAUUUACAAAUGAAGAGGCCUUAUUCGUAUGUAGGUAAUUACUGGCAAACUAUCUAGCAGAAGACAGCUGUGGCUGGAAAUACACUACGGUAUCAUACUGUACUGCCAAUGAAAUCAGCUUGUGUUCUCCAGCUGGAAUGUAUAGAAACGUCUCUGCUUUGAGUGAUGCUCAGCUUCCAGCAUUGAGCUAUGGGAUAGUGGGAUUCUUAGCCUCCCAGAAUUGGAUUAGUAUCCCCAGUGCAACUGUCCAUCAUGGUUCUAGCCCCCCUGUGCCUCAUCCUGAGACAGGAAGCAGUUUGUCUAACACUAACGAGGGUAUCCAAUCAACACCGACACCACAGCUGGCCUCGGCCAAUCCCCUGCGGGGCUCUUCGGGGUGGGCAUCCGGACAGCAUCCGGACAGGUGUCAUCAGGUCAUCGAAAACAUGCGUAUAUUAACUGGACAACCAGAGAGUCUGAUGGGGUUUAAAAAAGUGAAAAUAACAAUCGAUGAUAAAGUAUUAUUUGUCUUGUUCUUCUGAGAAUCUUCUGAGAAUCCUCAAUCUGUUUCUCCUCUUUCUCCCAGCUAACUUAAUCAGUAAAGCAGUAAUAAUCUAUUCUGAGUGGUAUGCAUGUUUCAUCAUCUAGUUCUCCGUUCAACAGAGGAUUCUAAUUAAGUUCAACACCAUAACACACACACAUAUGCACACCUCACACACAAUCACCGCCGGUAACAUACACCGAGAACAAUACGGAGGCUAAACAAGAUGAUUUAUGUCACAUUUUGUCUUUCUCAUGAGACACAUUCAUUUGAGGCAUUUUAAGUUCCUUUAACCUGUUGAGUCUAGAGGGCAGUAUUUUGAUGUUUGGAUGAAAAACGUACCCAAAUGAAACGGCCUAUUUCUCAGGCCCAGAAGCUAGAAUAUGCAUAUAAUUGGCAGAUUAGGAUAGAAAACACUCUAACAUUUCCAAAACUGUCAAAAUAUUGUCUGUGAGUAUAACAGAACUGAUAUUGCAGGCGAAAACCUGAGGAAUAUCCAACCAGGAAGUGCAUCUUAUUUUGAAACCUCCCUGUUCCAUUGCAUGCCUUCCCUCCAUUUAAAGGGAUAUCAACCAGAUUCCUUUCCCUAUGGCUUCCACAUGGUGUGAACAGUCUUUAGACAUAGUUUCAGCCUUUUAUUCUGAAAAAUGAGUGAGAACGAUCACAUCGCGUCAGUGCAUAACUGGGUGUCCCCAGACUUCUGCAUGCGCCAACAGCUUGGAGCAGACAUGUUCUCUCUCUCUCCUAUUGAAAAAGCUACCGUCUGGUUGAAAUAUUAUCGAUAAUUUAUUGUAAAAAUAACCUGAGGAUUGAUUAUAAAAACCGUUUGACAUGUUUCUACGAACUUUACGGACACUAUUUGGAAUUUUCGUCUGCCCUUCGUGACCUGCACAAGCCUGUGGAUUACUAAACAAAUGCACCAACCAAAUGGAGGUUUUUGGAUAUAAAAAUAAUCUUUAUCGAACAAAAGGAACAUUUAUUGUGCAACUGGGAGUCUCGUGAGUGCAAACAUCCAAAGAUCAUCAAAGGCAAGCGAUUUAUUGUAUUGCUUUUCUGACUUUCGUAACCAAUCUACUUUGCUGCUAACUGUUUGUAAUGUUUUGUCUGCUGAGAGAGAUGACCUCACAUAAACGCUUGGUUUGCUUUCGCUGUAAAGCUUUUUUGAAAUCUGAAAUGCCAGGUGGAUUAACAAAAAGCUAAGCUGUGUUUUGCUAUAUUGCACUUGUGAUUUCAUGAAAAUUAAAUAUUUUCAGUAUUUUAAUUUGAAUUUGGCGCUCUGCAAUUCAGCGGAUGUUGACAAAAAUGAUCCCGCUAACGGGAUGGGUGCGCCAAGAAGUUAAAAGAAGGAAACACAGGGAAUUGAUGUUCCACUGAGAAGGCUUUGUCAGACACACACAAUUAUAGUCAGCCAGGAGCAGCUACUGCAUACCAAGACCACAAGCUUCUAUUCUGCUCUGAGUAACACGAUAGAACUAUCAUAAGAUUUACUCUGCAGACCGUCUGCUGGGAACCAUCUGCAUGUUAUUGGCUAGAUGAAGUUAUAAGCAUAAAUUGAGGAAUUGGGAAUUAUUUUUUCCUGUGAAGACUUUGAGUUGUGUUUGAUAUGAAACUUUCCAUAUCUCAGAUAGAACAUAUUUGCGAAUUUAGUGUUCGUAAAUUCACCUCAGCUCUGCUGUGAAGAAAUUACAUAAUUGAACAGGUCAUUUCAUAAGAAGAAGAGGUGCCAUCUGUCAACAGUAAGGUUUUAGAAGCGGUACAGUGUAUUCUAAUCUCUGUGAG